GACGAAGGGGGCUAGCGUUGUUCGGAAUUACUGGGCGUAAAGCGAGUGUAGGUGGUUGUCCAAGUUGGAUGUGAAAGCCUUGAGCUCGACUCAAGAAAUGCAUUCAGGACUGGGCGGCUAGAGGACCGGAGAGGAUAGUGGAAUUCCCAGUGUAGUGGUGAAAUACGUAGAGAUUGGGAAGAACACCAGUGGCGAAGGCGGCUAUCUGGACGGUUUCUGACACUAAGACUCGAAAGCGUGGGGAGCAAACAGG
rnacentral:rRNA from 1 species